AACGUGAGUAACCUGCCCUUGACUUUGGGAUAACUUCAGGAAACUGGGGCUAAUACCGGAUAGGAGCUCCUGCUGCAUGGUGGGGGUUGGAAAGUUUCGGCGGUUGGAGAUGGACUCGCGGCUUAUCAGCUUGUUGGUGGGGUAGUGGCUUACCAAGGCUUUGACGGGUAGCCGGCCUGAGAGGGUGACCGGCCACAUUGGGACUGAGAUACGGCCCAG
rnacentral:rRNA from 1 species